UACAUAGGUCCCGAGCGUUGUCCGGAUUUAUUGGGCGUAAAGCGAGCGCAGGUGGUUUAUUAAGUCUGGUGUAAAAGGCAGUGGCUCAACCAUUGUAUGCAUUGGAAACUGGUAGACUUGAGUGCAGGAGAGGAGAGUGGAAUUCCAUGUGUAGCGGUGAAAUGCGUAGAUAUAUGGAGGAACACCGGUGGCGAAAGCGGCUCUCUGGCCUGUAACUGACACUGAGGCUCGAAAGCGUGGGGAGCAAACAGG
rnacentral:rRNA from 1 species